GAGGAGGAGAGACGCUGAGCUGGAGCAGCUUUCACACACACAGGAUCACAUCCAGUUCCUGCAGAGUUUCUCUGUGCCUCCUGAAUCCACAGAGCAGCCCUUUACCAUCAAUUCUCACCUCUCUUUCAAUCAUGUGAAGAAAUCGUUUUCUAAACUGAAAGAAAAACUGGAGGAUUUCUGCAAAGAGAUUGAACAUAUUUCUAACAGAGGUAAUGUGUCACAUCACAUAGAAGAAACAACCUAUUGAAAACAAUAUGGAAGAGAUCAUGUUUUACCAUAGGAAUCACAUUAAUUAUGUCUUUAUGUUCACAGUAAUGUACAGUGAAAUUAUUCCCCUCAAAGAACUGAAGACCAGGCCAGAGUUCCUGCAGUAUUGCAGGUUUCUGACUCUGGAUCUGAACACAGUGAAUAAAUACAUCCAUCUGUAUGAGGGAAACAGAGCAGCUACAAGCACUGAAACAGUCCAGAC